GACGAACGCUGGCGGCGUGCUUAACACAUGCAAGUCGAGCGGUAAGGCCCUUUCGGGGGUACGACGAGCGGCGAACGGGUGAGUAACACGUGGGUGACCUGCCCUCAGCUCUGGGAUAAGCCUGGGAAACUGGGUCUAAUACUGGAUAUGACUCCACGGUGCAUGUCGUGGGGUGGAAAGCCUUGUGCGGCUGAGGAUGGGCCCGCGGCCUAUCAGCUUGUUGGUGGGGUGAGGCCUACCAAGGCGACGACGGGUAGCCGGCCUGAGAGGGCGACCGGCCACACUGGGACUGAGACACGGCCCAGACUCCUACGGGAGGCAGCAGUGGGGAAUCUUGCGCAAUGGGCGAAAGCCUGACGCAGCGACGCCGCGUGAGGGAUGACGGCCUCGGUUGUAA
rnacentral:rRNA from 1 species